AUUGAACGCUGGCGGCAGGCCUAACACAUGCAAGUCGAGCGAGCGGCGGACGGGUGAGCAAUGUAUGGGGACCUGCCCGUUAGAGGGGGAUAACUACUGGAAACGGUGGCUCAUACCGCACAAUAUCGGUUGAACUCAUAUGGUAUUCGCUAGUAGGUGGGGUAAAGGCUCACCUAGGCGACGAUCUAUAGCUGGUCUGAGAGGAUGAUCGGCCGCAUUGGGACUGAGACACGGCCCAGACUCCUACGAGAGGCAGCAGUGGGGAAUAUUGCACAAUGGGCGCAAGCCUGAUGCAGCCAUGCCGCGUGUAUGAAGAAGGCCUUAGGGUUGUAAAGUACUUUCAGCGGGGAGGCGUUACCCGCAGAAGAAGCACCGGCUAACUCCGUGCCAGCAGCCGCGGUAAUUC
rnacentral:rRNA from 1 species